rfam:Angiostrongylus cantonensis strain Taiwan genome assembly, scaffold: ACAC_contig0008536
AGCCAUGUAGCCUAAUGGAUAACGCGUCAUGCUUCGGAUCCGAAGAUUGCAGGUUCGAGUCUUGCCAGGGUCG